UACGGGGGGAGCAAGCGUUGUUCGGAUUUACUGGGCGUAAAGGGCGCGUAGGCGGCCACCGCAAGUCGACUGUGAAAUCUCCGGGCUUAACCCGGAAAGGUCAGCCGAUACUGCGGGGCUAGAGUGCAGAAGGGGCAACUGGAAUUCUCGGUGUAGCGGUGGAAUGCGCAGAUAUCAGGAGGAACACCAAUGGCGAAGGCAGCUCGCUGGGACGGUACUGACGCUGAGACGACGAAAGCGUGGGGAGCAAACAGG
rnacentral:rRNA from 1 species